rnacentral:lncRNA from 1 species
GGCAACCUGCUGCGGUCUUCUUCCACACUGUGGAAGCUCUGUUCCUUCGCUCUUUGCAAUAAAUCUUGCUACUGCUCACUCUUCGGGUCCAUACUGUUUUUAUGAGCUGUAACACUCACCGCGAAGAUCUGCAGCUUCACUCCUGAAGCCAGCGAGACCACAAGCCCACUGGGAGGAGCGAACAACUCCAGACGCGCCGCCUUAAGAGCUGUAACACUCACUGCAAAGGUCUGCAGCUUUACUCCUGAGCCAGCGAGACCGUGAACCCACCAGAAGGAAGAAACUCUGAACACAUCCAAACAUCAGAAGGAACAAACUCCAGACGUGCCACCUUAAAAGCUGUAACACUCACCGC